GUGGGUGUAGCUCAGUUGGUAGAGCCCCGGAUUGUGACUCCGGUGGUCGUGGGUUCAAGUCCCAUCAUCCACCCCA
rnacentral:tRNA from 1 species